rnacentral:rRNA from 1 species
AUUGAACGCUGGCGGCAGGCCUAACACAUGCAAGUCGAGCGGAUGAAGGGAGCUUGCUCCUGGAUUCAGCGGCGGACGGGUGAGUAAUGCCUAGGAAUCUGCCUGGUAGUGGGGGAUAACGUCCGGAAACGGGCGCUAAUACCGCAUACGUCCUGAGGGAGAAAGUGGGGGAUCUUCGGACCUCACGCUAUCAGAUGAGCCUAGGUCGGAUUAGCUAGUUGGUGGGGUAAAGGCCUACCAAGGCGACGAUCCGUAACUGGUCUGAGAGGAUGAUCAGUCACACUGGAACUUAGACACCGUCCCAGCUCCUACGGGAGGCAGCCGUUGGGAAUAUUGGACAAUGGGCGAAAGCCUUGUCCCGCCCUGCCGCGUGUGUUAAGAAGGUUUUCGGAUUGUAAAGCACUUUAAGUUGGGAGGAAGGGCAGUAAGUUAAUACCUUGCUGUUUUGACGUUACCAACAGAAUAAGCACCGGCUAACUUCGUG